rnacentral:rRNA from 1 species
UUGUCUCAAAGAUUAAGCCAUGCAUGUCUCAGUACGAGCCGCAUUAAGGUGAAACCGCGAAAGGCUCAUUAAAUCAGUUAUGGUUCCUUAGAUCGUACCCACAUUUACUUGGAUAACUGUGGUAAUUCUAGAGCUAAUACAUGCAGACAGAGCUCCGACCGGAGACGGAAGGAGUGCUUUUAUUAGAACAAAACCAAUCGGCGGCGGGCGCGUUCGCGCGUUCGUUCGCCGCUCUACCUGGUGAAUCUGAAUAACUUUCAGCUGAUCGCACGGUCUCGCACCGGCGACGCAUCUUUCAAAUGUCUGCCUUAUCAACUGUCGAUGGUAGGUUCUGCGCCUACCAUGGUCGUAACGGGUAACGGGGAAUCAGGGUUCGAUUCCGGAGAGGGAGCCUGAGAAACGGCUACCACAUCCAAGGAAGGCAGCAGGCGCGCAAAUUACCCACUCCCGGCACGGGGAGGUAGUGACGAAAAAUAACGAUACGGGACUCAUCCGAGGCCCCGUAAUCGGAAUGAGUACACUUUAAAUCCUUUAACGAGGACCCAUUGGAGGGCAAGUCUGGUGCCAGCAGCCGCGGUAAUUCCAGCUCCAAUAGCGUAUAUUAAAGUUGUUGCGGUUAAAAAGCUCGUAGUUGAAUCUGUGUCUCGCGCUGUCGGUUCACCGCCCGCGGUGUUAAACUGGCACGUCCGCGAGACGUCCUGCCGGUGGGACGGUGCGGCCCGCGUCGUUCGCGGCGCGCGGUCGCCGGUCCCGGCUACAAAUCCUACCGCGGUGCUCUUCACUGAGUGUCGAGGUGGGCCGGCACGUUUACUUUGAACAAAUUAGAGUGCUCAAAGCAGGCUAAAACUUCGCCUGAAUACCGUGUGCAUGGAAUAAUGGAACAGGACCUCGGUUCUAUUUUGUUGGUUUUCGGAACCCCGAGGUAAUGAUUAAUAGGGACAGAUGGGGGCAUUCGUAUUGCGACGUUAGAGGUGAAAUUCUUGGACCGUCGCAAGACGAACGGAAGCGAAAGCAUUUGCCAAAAAUGUUUUCAUUAAUCAAGAACGAAAGUCAGAGGUUCGAAGGCGAUCAGAUACCGCCCUAGUUCUGACCAUAAACGAUGCCAGCUAGCGAUCCGCCGACGUUCCUCCGAUGACUCGGCGGGCAGCUUCCGGGAAACCAAAGCUUUUGGGUUCCGGGGGAAGUAUGGUUGCAAAGCUGAAACUUAAAGGAAUUGACGGAAGGGCACCACCAGGAGUGGAGCCUGCGGCUUAAUUUGACUCAACACGGGAAACCUCACCAGGCCCGGACACCGGAAGGAUUGACAGAUUGAGAGCUCUUUCUUGAUUCGGUGGGUGGUGGUGCAUGGCCGUUCUUAGUUGGUGGAACGAUUUGUCUGGUUAAUUCCGAUAACGAACGAGACUCUAGCCUGCUAAAUAGGCGUUACUUUCCGGCAUCUCGAAGGCUCGCGUCUCCCGUUCGCCGGUGCGGGCGGUUCUCGCGUCGCGCGGCGUCUCGGCGUUCGCGCGCGCGUCCGCUCGCGUCCGGUCGGGUGUUCGCGGUUUUUACUGCCGGCGUAAACAUGAAUCUUCUUAGAGGGACAGGCGGCUCCUAGCCGCACGAGAUUGAGCAAUAACAGGUCUGUGAUGCCCUUAGAUGUUCUGGGCCGCACGCGCGCUACACUGAAGGAAUCAGCGUGUCCUCCCUGGCCGAGCGGUCCGGGUAACCCGCUGAACCUCCUUCGUGCUAGGGAUUGGGGCUUGCAAUUGUUCCCCAUGAACGAGGAAUUCCCAGUAAGCGCGAGUCAUAAGCUCGCGUUGAUUACGUCCCUGCCCUUUGUACACACCGCCCGUCGCUACUACCGAUUGAAUGAUUUAGUGAGGUCUUCGGACCGGUACGCGGCGAGGUUUCGACGUCGCCGAUGUCGCUGGGAAGAUGACCAAACUUGAUCAUUU